CCUUGCCACUGAGUAUCUGGAGUGUAAACGCUGCAAGAAGAAGUAUCCCGCCUGGUCCGAGGACAUCUUGGGACAGCUGGAUAUGGGCCACCGCAGUCAGUUUCCAGCUUUGCUGCCAUACAGAUACUCAUGUGACAACUGGGUGCUGAGGAUGAUGAGGGAGAGGACACUGGGCAACAGUGUGACUCAGCUUUACAAGAAGCUGAUGGAACAGCACAGUGAGGCAUGGACACAACAUGUCCUGAAGUACCUGACUGCCUGCGAACCAUUCACAAGGUCCUCCCUUGUGCAGUCUCCUGUGUUUGCUGAGCCUCCCCUUUUAACUGCCCUACCUAAACCUAAGUGGAUGUUAGCCGUGUACCCCAGGGAUGUUAUGGGGUGACUGCACGAGGUCAAGGCCAAAAUUACAUCUGUCUUUGGCUGUGUUCUCAAGAUGGAUUCCACAAAAAAAGAUCACAAAGAAACUUGCCGGUGCUGCUUCAGGAACAGCUGCCUGGUGCACAAAUGUGGUA